UACGUAGGGAGCAAGCGUUGUCCGGAAUCAUUGGGCGUAAAGCGCGCGUAGGCGGCCUCAUAAGUCCGUUGUGAAAGUCAAAGGCUCAACCUUUGAAAGCCGAUGGAUACUGUGAGGCUAGAGUCCGGAAGAGGCGAGUGGAAUUCCUGGUGUAGCGGUGGAAUGCGCAGAUAUCAGGAGGAACACCAAUAGCGAAGGCAGCUCGCUGGAACGUUACUGACGCUGAGACGCGAAAGCGUGGGGAGCAAACAGG
rnacentral:rRNA from 1 species